UGGGGAAUAUUGGACAAUGGGCGAAAGCCUGAUCCAGCCAUGUCGCGUGUGUGAAGAAGGUCUUCGGAUUGUAAAGCACUUUAAGUUGGGAGGAAGGGCAGUAAGCGAAUACCUUGCUGUUUUGACGUUACCGACAGAAUAAGCACCGGCUAACUCUGUUCCAGCAGCCGCGGUAAUACAGAGGGUGCAAGCGUUAAUCGGAAUUACUGGGCGUAAAGCGCGCGUAGGUGGUUCGUUAAGUUGAAUGUGAAAGCCCCGGGCUCAACCUGGGAACUGCAUCCAAAACUGGCGAGCUAGAGUAGGGCAGAGGGUGGUGGAAUUUCCUGUGUAGCGGUGAAAUGCGUAGAUAUAGGAAGGAACACCAGUGGCGAAGGCGACCACCUGGGCUCAUACUGACACUGAGGUGCGAAAGCGUGGGGAGCAAACAGG
rnacentral:rRNA from 1 species